AGCUCCACGCUGAGAAGAUGAUGCCACAGAGGCAGCUUUGGGCAAAUCUUUCCCUUUUUCUCCAAACUCAUGGCCUCCUCUAAUUUCAUCAACCUUAAGCAGAGAAACCUAAGCCUAUGGACCUAAGAGUGUAGUAAGUUUGGGGAGCAUGAAGGGACACAGGUCCCGCCUUUUGAGAGGCAUGCAUGCUGGGAACAGGGAUGUAGUGCUGGCAGCUAUUGCUGGGCUACUUUCCUAAUUAAUUAAUUAAUUAGUUAUUGGUACUGGGAAUGAAGUCGGGCCUUGGGCUUUCCAGGCAGACUGUGUGGUGCUGAGCUACAUCUCUGGCCCAGGGUUACUUUCUUUUUUCCGGACAGUGGACCAAACUCACAGCCUCAUGCUUGCCAGGCAGGUGCUCAUGUCCCUGAGCUGUAUCCCUGGACACCAUGGGUCACUGUUUUUGUUUUGUUAUUUUGUUAGCAAGGCCUGAACUCAAGACCGUUUUUAACUAGGAAUGACUUUUUUAACUAGGAAUUUUCCUCCUUUCCUAUUCAUGGCAUAGGCAGCCUAAAAAGAUUCCCCCUUUUGCUGUGAAAAGGAAAAAGGCUGCUGGGGAGCUGGGGAGGGGGAGAUCUGUGCCUGUUUUCCUGCUGGGAAGUUCUCCCCAGAAUCCACUGGCCCCACGGCUUGGAUUUACUCCAAGGUCAUUCCUGCAGCAAGGUGGCUUUAAAGGACUCAAAGCAGAGGCCCCGCUCUGGACAGCAGGCAGGUGGUGUGACACCUGAGGCCUCAGGACACAGGCUGAAAUCAGAAAGGGAACUAUCUUAGGAGAAUAAUACAGCACUUAAAAAGGAAGAUGCAGCCCAGCAGCCCUGCACUGGAGGCCAAGAUGGAGAAGACCUCCAUGGACUCCAUCAUCUUCUUGUUGCUGUGCUACAUGAGGUGGAGAGUGACCCACAUACUGCAGAACACCAGCAUGCUGAAUGUCAGGAACUUGGCUGCAUUGAAUGGGUCAGGUAGCACUGAGAAACUUGGAGCAAUCUCUCAGUCAUGGUAUGAAGCCCAUGAGAGAAGAAGAACCAGCCAACUAGUGAGGUGAGCCAUGCUCCUCCCACACCCCCCACACGCAGGAGAAAAAAAUCAACCCUUUCCCUUCAUCAGAGGAGGUGGGAAGAGAUGAUUUUCUGUCAGUAUGUCUGAUGCUGAGUGAAAAUCGAUGUCAGACUCUAGCCGAAUCUAAGUUGCAGCAGGAUAUCAGUCUGUAUGUUUUGGUGGUUCUCAUAUCCAGAGCACUGUGGAAAAAAUGGGAAAGAGAGUUGAGGUUGGGCUCCCUGGGUCUCAGCCUCCCGGACUUGAACUGGGUACCGAUUGGUGCAGGUUCACCACACACAUGUGCUAUUCCUCCUUAGAGUUAGCUUCCUAACUCUAAGAACACACACAGAUGUCCUGAUCAUCACCUAUAAACCUGGCACAUGCAGCUCUGCUCUUCUCUGCUCUACUCUGUCAUGCAUUAGCAAAAAGAGCUUUGCCAUCCUGUGGUAUACUUAUCACUGUAGUAACCGUGUAACUAUCUUUAAAAACACAGCUGUUUUCUGCAGCCAGCCACACUCAGGUACCCACUCCAUUAUUAUAAAUUAACUGAAGUGCUGCCACACUGUUCUGUUUGCAUUGUCACCCUAAUAACCUGUUUGCAUUGUCAACCUAUGCUCCCUUUGUUAGAGACUAAUGUUGGUUUGUCAACCUUUGUUCUUUUUGUGAGAGACAAAUGUUGCUGUGUCAACCUUUAUUCCCUUUGUGAGAGACAAAUGUUCAUGGAAUUAGCAGACCAAGUGCUGUGAAUUCUUUUAAGGAAGAAAAGGGCUAACCACUGGCUAUGAAACAUCUCUGACCUCAAGCAAAGGGGAACAAAGGCCUUCCUCAUUCCUGCUCACUAUGUACUUUGCAGUUAAUGGGCUAUAAAAGUCUGUCCAAAUUUUAACCCAGUUACACAGCUUUACAAACUCAAUCUGCACUGUGUUGCUGGUGUCAGUUUAAAUAAAAGCACUCUUUUUCUUUUUAAAAGAUGUCUUGCCCUGUUUUUUGGACAACAUUUCAGGGCUCAUUUUUGGGGUACAACAUUUGGGGGCUCAUGCUGGAUUGAAUGGGGACUCACUCCCCACAUUAUGUUUCACCAAAUGAUUGGCUUCAAACAUCUGUAAGUAUUUGGAUCUUUUUUAUUUGUAAUUUAAGUGCACAUGUUUGGAGUUGCAGAUGAGCCUGGUGCUCCUUCUGCCCUGGAGUGGGACACCCUCCAAGAAAAGGUUUCUAGCACAUUAGUGAUUCGGGAAUUUGGCCUAAUUGGUUUUGUUCUUGGUAUAUUUACACUGUGGAGCCAUUUGCCUGUUUGAAUCUAUUACCUCAGUACUAACAUUCAGGUUUCUUUUAUUUCUCUUAAACUAAUGUUGCACCCAUGUGGUUUCUUGGCUUCAGGGUUAUAAUGAAAAUUAUUUUGCUAUAGGUUGCCAGACAACUGUGAAUCAACAAGUCUUUGUGUGUGUGUGUUUGCGUUUUUCUUGUCUUCUCUGGUGCCUUGUGUUGUGUUAUUGUCAUUGACCAGUUAUUGAUAACUAUGGGUCAGGCAUCAUCAUCAGAGCCUUUGUCUCCCCUUACUUUGGUUCGUAAUCAUUUCAGAGAUUUCAAGGAUCAAGCCUGGACAUAUGUAGAACCACAAAAUUCUGGGAAGCUCUGAAAUUUCUGUGAGCUUGAAUGGCCUGCUGUGGUUCCCAACUGGCCCUCAGCAGGUAGUUUUAAUUUCUGCACUGCUCAUGCCAUCCGACAAUAUGUCUUUGGAUCCCCAACCCACCCUGACCAAAUUGUGUAUAUUCAAAUUUGGAAUGAUCUCAUUUGUGAUCCUCCUUCUUGGCUUAAAAAGUUUCUCAAGGCAUCUGAGCUUCAAUUUGGAAACCACUGUCUCCUGGCACCUAUGAAAAUGAAACCAAAACCUGAGCCUGACUUGUGAACGACUCUUCCAAGCAAGGAGGAAGGACCUCUGCCAUGGCCUUACUGACCCUUGGCACCAAUUCCUGCUCCUCCUGAACCAGUACCCCCUUCUCACCUUCCUAGCCCUAUCCAAACCAGAAGUUAUUAGCAUUUGGAAUCCCCUAAUUCCUCCACCUCAACUCCCACCCUUCUUCCUCUUCAUGAGAUCCCUAAAUGUGAAGAUCCCUCAGCCCAGUAUUUACCUAUGUCCCAUUUUCUACUUCUAAACUUUACCAAUGGAAACAAAAACACAAAACAAAACAAAACAAAACAAAAAACCUUUUUCUAAGGAUCCUCAAGGUAUUAUUUCUCUUUUAGAAUCAGUCUUUUCCACCCAUCAUCCCCCUUGGGAUGAUUGUUAGCAGAUUUUGCAGUGUUGUUGAUGGUGCAGGAAAGAGAACGCAUCCACACGUUAAGAUGAAAAGUGGUGUGUGAUCCUGAUGGGAACUCAUCCUCUGAUCCUGAAUGCCUGAACCAUGAUUUUCCUUUGUCCCGACCUGAUUGGAAUCCUAACACACUGAAGGUAAGGAGGCUCUUGUUUAGUAUCACCAGUUGUUUCUAGAAGCCCUUAAAGGCACUGCCAGAAAACCCACCAAUUUGUCCAAGGUCUCAGAGGUAAGGCAAUUGGCUAAUGAGUCUCCCUCGGGGUUUCUGGAAAGGCUACAGAAGGCCUAUUGCAUUUAUACCCCUAUAGAUUCAGUGGCACCUGAAAAUGCAAGAGCCAUUAAUAUUGCCUUGUAACUCAGUUGGCCCAAACAUUAAAUGAAAAUUGCAAAGGCUUGAGGGAUUUGAGGGAAUGCCUCUUAGACAGAUCAGAAAUAGCUCAGAAGGUAAUCAACAACCGUGAAGAUCCCAAACAUCAAAAAUUGACAAAGGUAUUAGAAGUAUUGACUGAGAGAGUUACCAAAACAAAUGCAAAGUGUUACCCACCUAUAGAUAAAAAAUCAAUGUGCCUACUGUAAGGAGAUGGGACACUGGUGAAAGCAUUGCCCCAAGCUGAAGGCCAAACUGGAAAUGGAAACCAAGGCUCUAUUGUCCCGUGAUUAGGGAAGUCAGGGCUCUCAUGCCCCCCCCCCAGCCCAGGCUAACUCUAACUGUGCAGGCCAAUCAAUUGAUUUCUUAGUGGACUCCAGAGCUGCUCAUUCAGUUCUGACUUGGCUCAUAGGAACCACUACAGGAAAGAAAUUAAAAGUAUUAGGAGCCACUGGCACCACAAAGAUAUAUCCGAAGUUUCAAGCUCAGAUAGCCCAACCAGGACAAAAGACUAUCUCUCAUGAAUUCUUCUGCAUCCCAGAAUGCCUAGAUCCCUUUCUAAGCUGAGACCUCUUGUGUAAACUAAAAGUUCAUCUCAGUUUUGAAACAGCCACACCAACAAUGCAAAUGGCCAAUGGCUCAACUGAAUUCCUUGGCGCCAAGGUCCUUGCCCUAUAUCCUGAGGGUAUAGAACAUUUAUUAUUGUAAAAUCCUAAAGGUUUAAAUGACAAUGAGCUAUUGCACUGCUGGACACAGAAAAUCCCUGGGGUUUGGACAGAAUAAUCCUUCCAGUCUGGCAGUGAACCAAAUCCCUUUGGUGACUGAGCUUAUACCUCAAGCACUUCCUAUUCGGCUCAAGCAAUAUCCUGAGUCUGAAUGCACUACAAGGCAUAGCCAGACAUAUACUAAGGUUAAAAGAACAUGGUAUAUUAAAAUCUUGUGUCUCUCCCUGGAAUACCCCCUUGCAGCCUGUUCAGAAGCUGGGCACCUAGGAUUACUGGCUGGUGCAAGAUCUCAGGGAAGUAAACAAAAGAGUUGUAACUCUCCAUCCUACUGUACCUAACCCCUAUACUUUAUUGAGCCUCUUGAGCCCUGAGAGAUCUGGUACUCAGUACUGGAUUUGAAAGAUGCCUUCUUCACUCUCCCCAUUGCUCUAGUAAGUCAACAUACCUUUGCCUUUCAAUUGACUGACCCCACUACAGGAACAUCAGAACAAUUGACUUGAACAUGCAUACCACAAGGUUUUAAAAAGUUGCCCACUCUUUUUGAUGAGGCUUUGGCCAGAGACCUUUUGGGUUUCAGAGAGACUACCCAGAUAUGACAUUCUGGUGGCAACAGAUUCAUAUGAAAGUUGUGCAAGUGACACCUAAGUGACACCUUAAGGACUCUAGACAGGUUGGGCUAUAAGAUCUCAGCUAAAAAGGCUCAGCUAUGCCAAAAGCACGUAACCUACUUAGGUUACCAAAUCCAUGAAGGAAAGUGGACUCUUUUCUCUCAGUGGAUACAAGCUGUCUGGCAGAUCCGAAUCUCUGUAACUAAGAAUCAGGUAUGAGAAUUUUUGGGAGCCAUAUGUUAUUUUAGGCUUUGGAUUAUGAGCUUUGCUGCAAUAACCCAGUCACUUUAUGACUCAUAGAGAGGAGCCACUCAAGACCCUCUAGAGUGGUCAGAAUUACAAGACCAGGCCUUUAGGCAACUGAAAUCAGCCUUAACAGAAGCUCCAGCUCUGGCUCUGCCAAAUUUGCAAAAACCAUUUUCCCUCUAAGUUGAUGAAAAAUGAGGAAUAAAAAAAGGAAUACUGACCCAGAGUUUAGGACUAUGGCAAAGGCCUUUUGCCUAUCUUUUAAAGAGAUUUGAAACUGUGGCAGUCAGGUAGCUGCCUUGCUUGCAGGUGAUUGCCUCAGUGGCUCUCCUCGUGAGAGAGGCCCAAAAGUUGACAUUUGGACAAAAUGCUUAAUUGUCUCCUCUCAUUCACUGGAAACUUAUUAAGGCUCCGCCAGAUUGACUGCUGUCUAACACCUGAGUUAUGCACUAUCAGGCACUGCUCCUGGAUCCAACUAUUAUCAGUUUUAAGGAAAGAGCAGCCUUAAAUCAUGCUGCCCUGCUGCCUGAUGAUGACCCCUACUUGCCUCUUCACAAUUAUAUUGAGGUCAUUGAUCACCUCACAGGACUUCAAACCAGAUUUGAUGCAUGAGCUGCUACCCAGAAUUCCAUCAUAUUUCUCUGAUGGAAGUAGUUACAUCUAUCAAGGUAAGCGGGUCAUGGGGGGUGCCAUCAGACUCUCAGAUUCUAUGGGAACAAACCUUGGAGCCAGGGACAUAAGCUCAAUGAGCUGAACACAUAGCUCUUAUUAAGGCCCUCAAGUUGUCAGAAGGAAAAGAUAAGUAUUAGCUACUGCCAAUGUUCAUGGGACCAUUUAUCAGGAACAAGGUUUAUUGACUUAUGGGGGCCAAAAGAUCAAAAAUGCUCCCCAAACUUUGGAUUUGUUGGCUGCCAUUUGAAUGCCAAGGAAGGUGGCUAUUAUCCACUGCAAAGCCCAUCAAGUAGGAGAUGAUCCUGUUACAUGAGGAAACAAUCUGGCAGACACCACUGCUGGAAAAGUGGCCACAAAAUUAGUGGGGAUUGAAGACAGCCCCGACAUUGUGGCUGAUUACACCUACUCUGUCAGAGCCCUUUUACACUCAAAAUGACUUGCCUUUGGUAACUCAACUCCAAGGGAAGCCUGAAUCCCUGGGGGCUUGAACCAACUGCGUGAUAAGUGAGUUCUCCUCCCUGAGAGCUUGGGAUGAGAACUUAAUGCAACAAGCUCAUUGGUCAAUUCACAUAGGAGAAUCAAAACUCUCUACCCUUUUAUGAGAUCAUUUCUUUAUCCCUCAGUUAUCAAAGCUUACUCAGUCUGUGAGCCAUAGGUACCCUCAGUGCCAGCUGGUGAACCCAAAGCGACUGCAACAAAUGGAAACCACUCAUUAUUGUGGGACUAGGGCUGGAGAAUAUUGGGAAGUAGACUUUACAGAGAUGGGGAAGCCUGGAUUUCAAAGGUAUAAGUAUUUGCUAGUAAUGAUUGAUACUUUCACUAGUUGGGUCAAAGACUUUCCAUCUAAAUCUGAGUCAGCUCUGAUAGUAGUCAAAAAGCUUUUAUAUAAGGUUGUCCCAUGAAUCAGCCUCACUUUAUCCAUGGGGUCUGACAAAGGCCCAGCUUUUAUAGUGCAGAUAACUCAAAAAUUAACCCAAGAUUUGAAGAUCAAUUGGAAGCUCCAUUGCUCUUACCAACCUCAAAGUUCAGGAAAAUUAGAAAGGAUGAACCAGACCUUAAAAAUGGUAAUAACUAAGAUGGAAUUGGAAACUGGCAUGAACUGUGUGAGUCUCCUUCCUUUUGCCCUCUUGUGUGCACAAUGUACUCUCUAUGUUGGAGGUAUUUCCACUUUUAAAGCUCUAUGUGGGAGACCUCCUCCUCUUAUUCCUAAGAUUUCUGAGGAAAAAAUUAGCUGAUUUGGCUAAUCAAGAUCUCAUUAAGUCCCUCCAGGCCCUCAAGCCAGUACUAACUUCCAUCCACUGAGUAUUCCGACAACAACAUCCUCUGCCUGCAGUCCACUCUGAAAAUGAAUACCCUGCAGAGGAACCUGGGAUACUAGUCCUCAUCAAGAGACAUCACCGUGAAUCUCUUGAACCAUGGUGGGAAGGCCCUUACACCAUGGUCCUCAGCACUCCAACUGUGGUCAAAGUUGCUGGAAAGCCUGCCUGGAUUCAUCAUUCUCACUUCAAGUCGGUUCUGUCCUCUGCCAGUGAUCAACCUACAGAUGAGUGGACUGUUGUAUUCUCCAAGGAUUCUUUAAAGCUUAAAAUUGCCAAAUAUAUCUGAUAAUCUUGUACUUCUGUGUUGUUCCUUAUGGAGACCUCAAGGAGAUACCUCAUAAUCCACUGUUUGGAAGUUGGAAAAUUACUAUUUCAUUGGUGAAUUAUUGAUAGUCAACACUAUUGUCCAUGGGAUAAUUAAGAUAAAUUUAUGUGCCCUAUUAAAUGACCUCCCAGCAAAAAUUAGACAGAAGAGAAUGUUGUUUGGUCUGCAUACCCUGCUGCGUGAUUGGUUGCUAAUGGAAGAGAAACCAACUAGGUCUUGCAGGGACCUACAUAGUCAAAAGAAAUUACAGUCCACUGGUUGGUAUCUUUGCCCCCCAAAUCAACAGCCAGCCUCUGAUCACACUAGUAGGUGUUCACAGUCCAUAGAGACAGAAUAUUUUUAUAGACAUUGGGGUUUUCAAUCUAUAUCUCCUUGGCAGGGAAACAAAGAGGAUCAUUACAUUUUCCUUAUGCAGGACACCUCAUCUUCCUGUGACCUCAACCAGUGUAAUCUUAUGACUUUCAGACCCAAAAUCCGAAAAGAUCCUGUUUGGAAAGCGGGAUUUUUUUUAAUUUUAAAGAAUUAAGACAAAAGAGGACAUACCAAAGCAGAUCAGAACAGAAUAAUGUAAGCAAAGUAGAAUUUCACUAGAAGACAACCCGUAAUUAAUAGUUAAU